rnacentral:rRNA from 1 species
UACGUAGGGGGCAAGCGUUGUCCGGAUUUAUUGGGCGUAAAGAGCGUGUAGGCGGCCAUACAGGUCAGCUGUGAAAACUCGAGGCUCAACCUCGAGACGUCGGUUGAAACCGUUUGGCUAGAGUCCGGAAGAGGAGAGUGGAAUUCCCGGUGUAGCGGUGAAAUGCGUAGAUAUCUGGAGGAACACCGGUGGCGAAGGCGGCGUCCUGGACCAACACUGACACUGAUGAGCGAAAGCCAGGGGAGCAAACGGG